AUCGAACUCGGAGAUAGCUGGUUCUCCCCGAAAUAGCUUUAGGGCUAGCCUCAGGUUAGUCUAGCGGAGGUAAAGCACUGAAUGGACAAGGGGCCUUACCGGGUUACCAAAUCCUAUCAAACUAAGAAUGCCGCAAAGAUGAUGCCUGGGAGUCAGACUACGUGAGAUAAGUCUCGUGGUCGAAAGGGAAACAGCCCAGACCGCCAACUAAGGUCCCAAAAUCACAGCUAAGUGGAAAAGGAUGUGGGUUUGCUAAGACAACUAGGAUGUUGGCUUAGAAGCAGCCACUCAUUCAAAGAGUGCGUAAUAGCUCACUAGUCGAGUGAGCCUGCGCCGAAAAUUACCGGGGCUAAGCUGUGUACCGAAGUUGCGGAUUUCUAGAGGUGAGAGGUGAGAGGUUAGAAGUGAGAGGAGAAUGACUUUUGAUUAAAUCAUAUUAUGAUUUAGAAAUCUAUAAAGAUUCAUACUCCUUGGCAUUACAAAUCCAUAGAAUGACAAAAACGUAUCCUAAAUAUGAAAGAUAUGAAAUAGGCAGUCAAUUAAGAAGGGCAGCUCUAUCAGUACCGUUAAACAUAGCUGAAGGAUAUGGAAAAAAAGACUCAAUAGCUGAUUUUAAGAGGUUUUUGAGAAUGUCAUUAGGUUCUUGUAAUGAAAUGCACGUUCUAAUCGAUAUGAGUAAAGAUCUUCAUUAUAUAGAUGAAGAGACUCAUAAAAAGAUGUGGGAAAGCUAUAAUGUACUUGGGAAGAGGAUAAGUACAGUAAUAGCAAAAUGGAAAUAAUCCCACUUCUAACUUCUCACAUCUCACCACUAGGAGUGGUAGGGGAGCUUAGUAUAUGGGUUGAAGCAUGACCGAAAGGACAUGUGGACUGUAUAGUAGUGAGAAUGCCGGAAUGAGUAGCGAAAGUGAAGUGAGAAUCUUAACCGCCGAAUACCUAAGGUUUCCUGGGGAAGGCUCGUCCUCCCAGGGUUAGUCGGGACCUAAGCCGAGGCCGCGAGGCGUAGGCGAUGGACAACAGGUUGAUAUUCCUGUACCACCGUUAUUCGUUUGAGAGACGAGGGGACGCAGGGAGAUAGAGUGAGCGAGCAGCAGGAAUAGCUCGUCCAAGAGGAAUAGAAAGUUCCGUAGGCAAAUCCGCGGAAUGAUUCGAAGCCUUGAUGGGGAGGGAAAAUAAGUACCGAAGCACUUGAUUCUGCACUGACGAGAAAAGCCUCUAUCGAGAAUAAAGGUGCCCGUACCGUAAACCGACACAGGUGGGUGAGGAGAGAAUCCUAAGGCGAGCGGGAGAAGCGUUGUUAAGGAACUCGGCAAAUUGACCCCGUAAGUUAGCGAGAAGGGGUGCCUUUUGGAGGUGAGAGGUGAGAGUUGAGAAGUGGAAUGCUGGAAAUGAGAGAUAAGAAGUGAGAAGUGAGAGUAUAAGAAAGGCUACGAAGCCUUACUGAAUCUCACCUCACACAUCUCACAUCUGCCAGUCUCACAUCUCACAUCUCACAUCUCACUUCCAGGAGGCCGCAGAGAAAUGGCCCAAGCAACUGUUUAUCAAAAACACAGGUCUCUGCUAAAUCGAAAGAUGAAGUAUAGGGGCUGACGCCUGCCCGGUGCUGGAAGGUUACGGGGAUCUGUUAGCGCAAGCGAAGCAGUGAACUUAAGCCCCAGUAAACGGCGGCCGUAACUAUAACGGUCCUAAGGUAGCGAAAUUCCUUGUCAGGUAAGUUCUGACCCGCACGAAUGGCGUAAUGAUCUGGGCACUGUCUCGACAACCUAUCCGGUGAAAUUGUAGUACUCGUGAAGAUGCGAGUUACCCGCGACUAGACGGAAAGACCCCAUGGAGCUUUACUGUAGCCUGAUACUGUAUUUCGAUAUUUCAUGUACAGGAUAGGAGGGAGGCUGAGAAUCCGGGACGCCAGUUCUGGAGGAGCCAACGUUGGGAUACCUCUCUUGAGAUAUUGGAAUACUAACCAGAGACCAUAAACUGGUCUUGGGACAAUGUCAGGUGGGCAGUUUGACUGGGGCGGUCGCCUCCAAAAGAGUAACGGAGGCGCCCAAAGGUUACCUCAGCACGGUUGGAAAUCGUGCAACGAGUGCAAAGGCAUAAGGUAGCCUGACUGCGAGACCAACAAGUCGAGCAGGUACGAAAGUAGGGCUUAGUGAUCCGGCGGUAUGAGAGUGGAAUUG
rnacentral:rRNA from 1 species